rnacentral:antisense_RNA from 1 species
GGGAGCGGGCUUGCUCGCGAAGGCGGUGCGUCAGCCUCUAUCUAUUGCGACUGAUACACCACCUUCGCGAGCAAGCCCGCUCCC